CACAGUCGGACGUGGAAGUUUGGACCUGUCAGAUAAAGGAGACCCUCACAGGCAAGAGGAUGUUGUUCCAUACCUGCUAGAGAUACGUGGAAACUCUCGCAGAACAACAGUAAGUCGCGUCUGACAUGAUGUCCCCGUCAAUCACUGAUGAUAGGAACGCUCAGUUGACUACUCGGCUUGAAAGCCUGGAGAAAAGGUUGAAGGCCAUGGAGAAGAGAAACUGGAUUGUACGCUGUUUUUUUCAACACUGUGCAGCGAUUUUGGAAAGUCUGCAGACUAAGAUGACUCUGUCUACUGGCUGCAAUCCAUAGGCUGGUCCUGUAGCGCUCUUUCUAUUGUGGCCUGGUCAGAAAGUAUGCAGGUACUGCAGUCAAUUCAGUGUUGUUGAACACUGCAUCACACCCUAGCAUAUCACUGCUGUUAUCUAAAUCUCAUUCACCCAGGUGCUUUGAACUAUAUGAAAGAUUUCUAUCAUAAUUCUGUGAUUGAAGGAACAAGUCACCUCAAUUCCACCCAAGACUGGAGUACGUGGAUGUUCUCCAGAAAGACCAUACAGUCUGGUCCAAGGUGUCCAACAACUUGGGGGACAGUCUGCUCUGUGCAAAGCAGCGUGCAGUGAUGCUGCAUAACAUGUGCCGUAGGGCAGCAAAGGAGAAGCACCUUAUACAAGCAGACCUACAAAAUUGCCUUUUUUUUAUUGCCAGAGAGAGUUGGGGCUUUUUGAAGAGGCCCUUGCUUCUCUUGGGCAGUGUGAGGCUGAGUGCUGCUCCGAAAUAAAAUGCAGAACAUAUUAAAGCUCCAGCAAGCAUUUUCAAUGUUGGCUAGUGAUGGCUCGGUCAGCACAGAUGUAGAGGAGGACAGUGAUUCAGAAGAUUGAGGAAUUAAUGUCUGUCUGUGUUUGCGUGUGAGUUCUAUAGGGACAAACUAUACACUGAGUAUUCCAAACAUUAGGAACACCUGCCCUCAGAACAGCCUCAAUUCAUCGGGGCAUG